GUCAUCCGCUGGCGGGCAGGGGUCGGGCGGGGGUGGGGGGAGGCCUGGAAGGAGAUGUCCCUCGUGUGAACCAGCAGAAAAGCCAGCGCCAGAGAUGCAGGGAGAAGGCCCUGUGCCCGCCUGAGGUCUGUGAUGUCUCCGAUUCAGGUUUCUCUUCUGGCCAAGCCUAACCCGGAACCACGGAUGGAAGGGCGCUCCGAGACACAAGGCCCUGCCUCAGCUACGUUGUCACAAGAUGCAGCCAUCGCGGGCGCAGAGGGACGUCUUUGUCCAUCAGAUGGCGGCCCUGCCCCGCGUGUGGCCCUCAGUGGGGUCCAGUGACUUCACGAGCCUCGAGCUCCCUCCUGGGGCACCGGGCUCUGCGAUGUCUGCUCCCUGACCUCAGCCAGGACCCCCUCGCCCGUCCCGGCUGCACUGCUCCUCCUCGAGCUCCUCAGGCCUCCACGGGGCACCCUGGCCCUUGGACUUCAGUGCCCUCGGCCUGGGGUCCCCGUUCCAGGCCUCGGCCUCCACGGCCCUGCCUCCCUCUGGAACAUUUCCCUCCUUUUCUGGUGCGUCUCCCUCACGAGGACGUCCCCUCCUCGAGGCCCCUCAGCAGGCAUCCUGGCUCGGAGCAGGCAUUCUGCCCGCGGUAACCCUCUGCCUGCAGGAGCCUCCGAGUUGGAAGAGACGGGCCUUCGGGAGGAUGCUGGCGGGAGGUGCGCCCGUCCUGCAACAGGAGGACGAGGCCGACCCAGACGUUGCAAUAUGCCUGGCAGCCCCGUCUCCUCUGUCCCCAUUUGUCUAAUUGAUGCGAGCUCCCAGAUACCCCCCCGUACCGGCCCUGGGAGGGAGAAGAAAGCACAGGCCCAGGAGUCAGGAGAGCUGCAUCUGGCCCUGUUUCUGCCACUGACUUGCUGUGUGACUUUGGGCAAGCCCCUGGCCCUCUCUGGGCCUCAAUUUCCAGAUCUACGCACAUUGAGAGGAUUGGACUGGAGGACGUCUCUGGGCCUUUCCAGUCCUACAUCCUGUUCCAUUCUUUCCUAAAUUGAGGUGAGUUUUCUUUGGGGGCUUUGGGAGAAUUCUGAGGCUCUACUAGAGAUAACGGGACGUGUCCUUAGGGUGGGAAGCCCUGACCCAUGGGGCUGACCCCCCAGAGUCACUCUGUCCCCACCCGGGUGAGCCGGCGCCACAGAGGAGAGCCCUGCCCUGGGGCCACCCAGUUGUGGCCCAUUCAUGAAGCACCAGAAGGCACUGGCUGUCCCGGGAGGCAUCCGGGCCUCCGGGCGCAGACGCGGGGCACCUCCUGUCUCCUCCAGCAACGCCCCGCACAGCGAGGCCCCAGGGCCUUUGCUCGCACCGGCCUCCCUCCCGGCCGCUUAACCGUUAACCCGAGCCCAGCAGGUCACGACGCAGCCAGGCCUUUCUUGAAAGUCUUCCCGUGUUCUUGUUGUGACUCCCGGUCCCGUGGUUCACUGUCCACAACCCGUGGGGCAGAAACCGAGGUCAGACAGCUUGUGGUUCGGGGACCUGGGUUCAAAUCCAGGUCUUUGGAUUCUGAUUCCUCCAUUUACCAGUUGCAGGUCCUUCUAGUUGUGGCAUGUGGGACACCGCCUCAACAUGGCCUGAUGAGCGGUGCCGUGUCCGCGCCCAGGAUCCGAACCGGCGAAACCCUGGGCCGCUGAAGUGGAGUGCCUGGACUUAACCACUUGGUCAUGGACCCAAGCCCUAAUUUUAAUUUUUAAUUACUAAAUUCUAAUUAAAAUUUCUUGAGAUUUUUAACUGAAUCACUCAAUUUGAAGUUUAAUUGAAAGAACAAAUUUUAAUGUCGUUUUAAUCAAUCAUUUUAAUUUAACUUUAAUCAAUACAUUUAAAUUCGUAACUUUAUAGUUUUUAUCAAUACAUUUUAAUGUUUUCAUUUAAUUAGUGUUUCCAUGUCAUUUUAGUGAGUAAGUUUAAAUUUUAAUGAAUAUGUUUUCAUAUAAAUUUUUAAAUUUUGUAGAAAAUUAAAACCCUCCCUGAGGACGCCGAAGGCCUCCUGGAGCCAUCACCCAUGCCAGCCCCCUCCCCAGAAGGAACUGCCAUCAUCCAGGUCCCCAUGUGCAUGCAUCUCCUGCCCCCCAACUCCUUCCCCCCCAUCCGCCCCCACCCCCC
ensembl:lncRNA